CCUACGGGAGGCAGCAGUGGGGAAUAUUGCACAAUGGGGGAAACCCUGAUGCAGCAACGCCGCGUGAGUGAUGACGGCCUUCGGGUUGUAAAGCUCUGUCUUCAGGGACGAUAAUGACGGUGCCUGAGGAGGAAGCCACGGCUAAGUACGUGCCACCAGCGGCGGGGAUACGUAGGUGGCGGCCGUUGUCCGGAUUUGCUGGGCGUAAAGGGAGCGUAGGCGGACUUUUAAGUGAGCUGUGAAAUACGCGGGAUCAAAUUGAGUGCUGCAUUUCAAACUGGAAGUCUAGAGUGAAGGAGAGGAGAAUGGAAUUCCUGGUGUAGCGGUGAAAUGCGUAGAGAUUAGGAAGAACACCAGUGGCGAAGGCGAUUCUCUGGACUGUAACUGACGCUGAGGCUCGAAAGCGUGGGGAGCAAACAGGAUUAGAUACCCGUGUAGUC
rnacentral:rRNA from 1 species